UACGAAGGGGGCUAGCGUUGUUCGGAAUUACUGGGCGUAAAGCGCGCGCAGGCGGUCUUCCAAGUCAGUGGUGAAAGCCUGGAGCUCAACUCCGGAACUGCCAUUGAAACUGUUAGACUUGAGGAUGAGAGAGGUGAGUGGAAUUCCCAGUGUAGAGGUGAAAUUCGUAGAUAUUGGGAAGAACACCGGUGGCGAAGGCGGCUCACUGGCUCAUUACUGACGCUCAGGCGCGAUAGCGUGGGGAUCAAACAGG
rnacentral:rRNA from 1 species